rnacentral:rRNA from 1 species
AUAUCAGUCAUGCAUAGCAUAUCAAUAAGCGGAGGAAAAGGAAACUAACAAGGAUUCCCUAGUAACGGCGAGUGAAGCGGGAAGAGCUCAAAUUUGAAAUCUUAAAGGGUUCUACCUUGACGAAUUGUAGUUUAUAGAAGUGUUUUCUGUAGUGGAGUUCGGUAAAAGUUCUUUGGAAUAGGACAUCAUAGAGGGUGAGAAUCCCGUAUUUGACCGUUACUUUCCUAGCGUUGUGAUACACUUUCAAAGAGUCGGAUUGUUUGGGAAUGCAGUCCAAAAUGGGUGGUAAAUUUCAUCUAAAGCUAAAUAUUGGCGAGAGACCGAUAGCGAACAAGUACCGUGAGGGAAAGAUGAAAAGAACUUUGAAAAGAGAGUUAAACAGUACGUGAAAUUGUCAAAAGGGAAGCGUUUGACACCAGUGUUGUUUUCUCGAAAAUCAAUUAAAAAUGGCUUGAUUUUGUGUUGUAUUGACUUUAUCGGCUUUCUGCACCUUUUUCAUGUCUUUUUUAAUGCACUUUUCGUUUAACAAGUCGACAUCAAUUUCUUUUGUUGUAAAAGGGUUAUGAGGAAGGUGGCUUUCUCUUCGGAGAAAGUGUUUAUAGCCUUGUAGCCUCUGCAAUCGGAGAGAUUGAGGUCUGCAGCGUAGAUCCUUCGGGGUUAGAUACAGUUUGUGCUAAGUUAUAGUCUUUUAUAGACAACUUGUUGACUAUGAUUUAGUCUUGUAGCUUACUCGCUGAUGCUAUUUUACCUACGCUUAGGAUGUUGAUCUCUCACAGUCGAGC